AUUGAACGCUGGCGGAAUGCUUUACACAUGCAAGUCGAGCGGCAGCGCGGGGGCAACCCUGGCGGCGAGCGGUGAACGGGUGAGUAAUACAUCGGAACGUGUCCUUCAAGUGGGGGAUAGCUCGGCGAAAGCCGGAUUAAUACCGCAUAAGCUCUGAGGAGGAAAGCGGGGGACUGGUAACGGCCUCGCGCUGUUGGAGCGGCCGAUGUCGGAUUAGCUAGUUGGUGGGGAAAGGCCCACCAAGGCGACGAUCCGUAGCUGGUCUGAGAGGAUGAUCAGCCACACUGGAACUGAGACACGGUCCAGACUCCUACGGGAGCAGCAGUGGGGAAUUUUGGACAAUGGGGGCAACCCUGAUCCAGCCAUUCCGCGUGAGUGAAGAAGGCC
rnacentral:rRNA from 1 species